GACCUGAGAUAACUAAAUUGGUAUCAUGUAUGUCUGUGGCCUUAACUUCAGUUGUCACUGGCUCCAACAUGAACUCCCUGGUUUUUCACCACUGGAUACGGUGGUUAAAUUAUAGUGGCAAUCAGUCCAAGGAGCUAGAAAAUAAUGGAAAAUAAGAAAGCUGAUGAGGACUUAAAGUAUAUUCCCAUACUUUCUUGAUAGCAAUAAAGAAGUGUACAAGGGAUUGAAACACAUCAGAGAUCUUCUCACCGUCUUGCACGAUCAGUUUCCUCAGGGUCUUGGAGGUAGAACCAUCUGCUAAGUAGUCCAUUCCCACAUCAGAUAUUCUUGUACACUUGAGCAGCUCCAAAUUGUUGAGGGAAGAUGCAGACCCGAUUGCUUCAAGCGCUGCAAAUGCUGCAGGCAAUCAGGCUAAUAUCUUAAAAUCUCCUUCUGCACAUAUAUUUUAGCGAAAGAAGAUCCUAACAGAUUAAUUUUGAUGACUGGAUAUCAAAAUGGUGUGAGGUAAGUCAUUUUGUUAGAACUAUAGACUGUUAAUUCUAUUUGUUGUAAAAGUAUGCUUCCAUUUUGAUAUCCAGUCAUCGUUAGAACUAUAGACUGUUACUUUAUUUGUUGAAAAA